UACAGAGGGUGCAAGCGUUGCUCGGAAUCACUGGGCGUAAAGGGCGUGUAGGCGGGAAGUUAAGUCAGAUGUGAAAUCCCCAGGCUCAACCUGGGAACUGCAUUUGAAACUCCCUUUCUUGAGUACCGGAGAGGAAAGUGGAAUUCCUGGUGUAGAGGUGAAAUUCGUAGAUAUCAGGAGGAACACCAGUGGCGAAGGCGGCUUUCUGGACGGUAACUGACGCUGAGACGCGAAAGCGUGGGGAGCAAACAGG
rnacentral:rRNA from 1 species